rnacentral:rRNA from 1 species
GACGAACGCUGGCGGCGUGCUUAACACAUGCAAGUCGAACGGAAAGGCCCUGCUUUUGUGGGGUGCCCGAGUGGCGAACGGGUGAGUAACACGUGAGUAACCUGCCCUUGACUUUGGGAUAACUUCAGGAAACUGGGGCUAAUACCGGAUAGGAGCUCCUGCUGCAUGGUGGGGGUUGGAAAGUUUCGGCGGUUGGGGAUGGACUCGCGGCUUAUCAGCUUGUUGGUGGGGUAGUGGCUUACCAAGGCUUUGACGGGUAGCCGGCCUGAGAGGGUGACCGGCCACAUUGGGACUGAGAUACGGCCCAGACUCCUACGGGAGGCAGCAGUGGGGAAUAUUGCACAAUGGGCGGAAGCCUGAUGCAGCAACGCCGCGUGCGGGAUGACGGCCUUCGGGUUGUAAACCGCUUUCGCCUGUGACGAAGCGUGAGUGACGGUAAUGGGUAAAGAAGCACCGGCUAACUACAUG